CCUACGGGUGGCAGCAGUGGGGAAUAUUGCACAAUGGGGGAAACCCUGAUGCAGCAACGCCGCGUGAAGGAAGACGGUUUUCGGAUUGUAAACUUCUGUUCUUAGUGAAGAAUAAUGACGGUAGCUAAGGUGCAAGCGACGGCUAACAACGUGACAGCAGCCGCGGUAAUACGUAGGUGGCAAGCGUUGUCCGGAAUUACUGGGUGUAAAGGGAGCGCAGGCGGGAAGAUAAGUCAGCUGUGAAAACUACGGGCUUAACUUGUAGACUGCAGUUGAAACUGGCUUUCUUGAGUUAAGUAGAGGUAGGCGGAAUUCGGAGUGUAGCGGUGAAAUGCGUAGAUAUUGCGAAGAACACCGAUGGCGAAGGCAGCCAACUGGGCUUUAACUGACGCUGAGGCUCGAAAGUGUGGGGAGCAAACAGGAUUAGAUACCCGAGUAGUC
rnacentral:rRNA from 1 species